CCAUGGCAGGGGACUCUGAUCGUGCUCCUUUCCGACAGAGCACCUCGAUUCUCCUGGAAUUUCAGGUCGUCCCUUUCUCUCACCCUCCUCACCGUCCUCUGUGCAGGGCUCCAUCCCACGCAACAUUCCACUGGGGGCACCUUUGUGUUUGUUUUCUGUUUGCUUGUUUCCUGGAAACCUCCCUCCUGGAAUAAAAACAUCUUUAAAAGCUAAAACUGAUGACUGAGGAGCUCCUGGGCCCGCGCCCCUCUGCGGCCGGCCACCACCUCUGGCCCAAUCCUCCACCCUCUGCAGGUAGAGCCUGAGCUGCUUCCUCCAGGAAGCCCCACUGAUGCUUGCUCCCAUCCAGGGUGACUGCAGGAUUCGUGGAGAGGGAGGUGCGUCAGAGAGGGUGUGGACGUGAAGCAGGGCAGGUGCUGCCAGGCGACCGCCGCUGGACCUGCCGCAGCUGCAAGAAGACGCUCCCCUCAAACCUCCCAGGGAAACGCAGGCUGUGGACACCUCGAUUUCAGCCUAGCGUUGCUAUGGGAACUGGGCUGAGGUCCUUGCAGCAACCUUGAUCUACGGGUUUCAGGCCUGGGCAGGGGCGCAGAUGCUGGAUGCAGGUCCCUGCAGGGCCCUCGGCUUCGCCUCCUCUUACCUCAGUUUCCCCAUCUCUGCAAUGGCAGCACUUGGGCCAUUGUCAAGUCACCAAAGCCACCUGCAGGCGGGCUCCAGAGACGUGCUUCCCUCUCAGACCCCACUCCAGCCCUGACAGGAUACUGAUGGCGCCCAGCCAGAGGCUGGAAUGCUUCCUGCGUGGGGAAAUGUUGGGUUAAAUAUUGGGAUAUAUUGGGUGGAUAUAUUGUGUUAAAUAAAAUAUAUGAUUCAAAUUAG
rnacentral:lncRNA from 1 species